AAUAUUGGACAAUGGGGGCAACCCUGAUCCAGCCAUGCCGCGUGUGUGAAGAAGGUCUUCGGAUUGUAAAGCACUUUAAGUUGGGAGGAAAGGCUUUAGGUUAAUACCCUGAAGUUUUGACGUUACCAACAGAAUAAGCAACGGCUAACUCUGUGCCAGCAGCCGCGGUAAUACAGAGGGUUACAGCGUUAAUCGGAAUUACUGGGCGUAAAGCGCGCGUAGGUGGUUCAAUGAGAUGGGUGUGAAACCCCCGGGCUUAACCUGGGAACUGCUUUCAUAACUGCUGAGCUAGAGUACGAUAGAGGGUAGUGGAAUUUCCUGUGUAGCGGUGAAAUGCGUAGAUAUAGGAAGGAACACCAGUGGCGAAGGCGACUACCUGGACUGAUACUGACACUGAGGUGCGAAAGCGUGGGGAGCAAA
rnacentral:rRNA from 1 species